AUGGGAGUUGGAAGAGUUGUCUUGUGUGUACAGAUGAGGAGUCUUAUUCUGAACAGAUUGAAAUGUGCGGCAAAUUGUAGUUCAAAUACAGUGCUCGCGGACAAAAACCAUCUAAAAGAAUUGUCACUAGAGUGGACUGAACAAAGAGAGGAAAAAUACCAAGAAGAAGAAGUUUCCAAUGCCGAGGGUGUCUUUGAGCAGCUAAUACCUUCACGCAAUUUGGAAGCCUUGUUUAUUAGAUUAUACUUUGGUCGGCGGUAUCCCACCUGGUUUGGUACCACCUAUUUGUGUUCACUCAUACACUUGACCCUCAGAUAUUCACGAUCGUGUGUGGAUCUUCCACCGCUUGGGCAGCUACCAAACUUGAAAUAUCUGUUAAUUGUUCGAUCAUAUGCACUUACCAAGGUCGGACCUGAAUUUGUUGGCUACAGGAAUCGUGAUCCCAUAUGCAGUGAGUUAGUUGCUUUCCCUAAACUUGAAUGGUUGAUCAUCAGGGAUAUGCCCAACUGGGAGGAGUGGUCUUUUUUUGAAGAAGUAGAAGAAUUUGCUGUCGAUGAAGGGAGAGAGGAUGGAGCUGCUGAGACUCGUCCAGAGGACGCCCAAUCUGCAAGGUUGUCACUGCUGCCUCGUUUCGUGAUGUUGAGACUCGAACAUUGCCCAAAGCUGAGGACUCUCCCGCGGCAGGUUGGAGAGGACACCACCAACUUGAAGAUGCUCAAAUUAAUUGGAGCAAACAACUUGAAGGCUGUCGAAGAUUUCCCACACCUCGCCGACCUCCUCCUUAUUGAGAAAUGUGAAGGCAUGGAGAGGAUCUCCAACCUCCCUCAAGUGACGAAACUGCAUGUCCAUGGUUGUCCAAACUUAAGCCAUGUAGAGGGGCUGGGAAGUUUGCAACAGCUAUGGCUGGGUGAGGAUAUGCAAGAGGUCUCUUCCCGCUGGGUGCCUGGGCUUCAAGUGCAGCACCAACGACUUCAUGGCGAAUACCUAGAUGUUUACACGCUGUCUACCAGUUAG
rnacentral:rRNA from 1 species